AUCUUCAUGCGCAGUACCCGUUUCUCACAACAACAGUAACAUCCGCUGAAACGGUGCUAAUAGCGCGCUUUGGAAGAGACUGAUUGGUAAUGCGGAGGGGGCGUUAAAAGAUAUCAGCGCGAGGCCCGCAAGUCGGGCUCGUUUUAUUUGGCUGAUAUGGUCGAGAACAGCUAAUCGUACUGCAUCACUGACUUCUUUUCGCGUUCAACUUUUUCAUUUUUUUCCAACAGCGCUCGAUUUCGGUGAGCAUUAUCUGAAAUAUAAAGUGUAUAAAGGCGCAAACACUUCUGUAACUUUUUGGCUGACUUGUUGAUAUCGAAACUCCAAAGCACACCAGAAAAGUACAGGAAUGUGGUAUCCUUUGUCAGCUUGUUCUAAAGGCACCUGACUGGAAUAAACAAACAGACCACAAACAUGACACUUCUGUAAUACUGCAGGAGCCCUGCCUUCCGUGUGACGUGAUAAGGGCACUGGAUGCAUGAUUUCGGUAACGCCUGUCACCAGCAUGUCAGGUAGUUUCAUUUUUCAACUAAUCAUAUUAUCAGCGUACUCACCUCUUUGCAUGUUAACCCUUGAAGAAGCUACUCCAUGAUUUGUUUUGUUUUUUUGAGCUCUCGUCGUGAGAAGUUGCGGAGUUACGUUCUCGCUCUCGCUGGCGCUCUCACUCUGGAUUCCAGCAGGGAGGGAUUCCCGCAGCGACUACGCACCGGGACUCUCGUUAACCCACAGACGGAACGCGUAAACGGACUUGGGACCAAAGUACGAGCACCUCCCAAGACCAAGCGCGCUCCCGUGACCGCCCUGCGAGCCAAUCACGAGAAGUACUGGUGGGGCUCGCAACCCUGCAACCACUGCAACCAUGGACAGCGCCCAAAAGUAAAUCCUCGCGUGAUGCGGAACUCUGCGGAGCAGCAUGGACAAGUCCAAGUGGUGUUUACAUCUACUCGUCCUGCCCAUGUUCUCUGCUGCAUUUUUCUGCACUCUGCAUUUACAAUGUCACCUAUCACUCUAUAAUGUGCAUGCAUACACAUAGAGGCAGUUACAGAUUGGCUGUUUCUAAGUGUAUACUACACUAUCCUGUGAUCAUGGAUUGAAUGGCAGGGGUCCCAGAUGUCCACAUGACCAUCAUCAUCAAUUUCUUCGAUGUGAAGCCUGAAAACCAUGAGGACAGAUUUAGACCAUCUAUGUUAAGUAGAACGCCCAGUGGGGGCUGGGUGGUCUUUUGGCCUUAUUUUUUAUUUUUUUUUUCUGUCCUCCUGGCCAUUCGACUUUAUCUAUUUCUUUGUUGCACACUGUAUAAUAUUAUUGCCUAAUCUUGUUUGUUUAUGUUUUAUAUUAACUUAUUUUAUUUCAUUUUCUAA